GAUGAACGCUGACAGAAUGCUUAACACAUGCAAGUCUUUGGCGAAGCUGUGCUUGCACAGCCUAGCCAAGGCGGACGGGUGAGUAACGCGUAAGGAACUUGCCCUGCAGUCAGGGAUAACAGACGGAAACGACUGAUAAGACCUGGUAAAGUCAGGCGGACUCAUGUCCAGCCUGAUGAAAAGAGAUGCUGCAGGAGAGCCUUGCGUCCUAUUAGCUUGUUGGUGGGGUAACGGCCCACCAAGGCGAUGAUAGGUAGCCGGCCUGAGAGGUUGGACGGCCACAAGGGGACUGAGAUACGGCCCUUACUCCUACGGGAGGCAGCAGUGGGGAAUAUUGGACAAUGGGGGCAACCCUGAUCCAGCAAUUCUGUGUGCACGAUGAAGGUUUUCGGAUUGUAAAGUGCUUUCAGCAGGGAAGAAAAAAAUGACGGUACCUGCAGAAGAAGCGACGGCUAAAUACGUG
rnacentral:rRNA from 1 species